UACGGCCACAUCAUGUUAAAACACCAGUCUCCGUACGAUCACCAAAGUUAAGCAACAUCGAGCCUGGUCGCUACCAAGUUGGGUGACCGCUUGGCAAUACCAAGUGCUGAAA